GUGAGGAAUAUUGGUCAAUGGGCGCAAGCCUGAACCAGCCAUGCCGCGUGCAGGAAGACGGUCCUAUGGAUUGUAAACUGCUUUUAUUUGGGAAUAAACUCCGGUACGUGUACCGGCCUGAAGGUACCAAAUGAAUAAGCACCGGCUAACUCCGUGCCAGCAGCCGCGGUAAUACGGAGGGUGCAAGCGUUAUCCGGAAUCAUUGGGUUUAAAGGGUCCGCAGGCGGUCUUAUAAGUCAGUGGUGAAAGCCUACAGCUCAACUGUAGAACUGGCAUUGAUACUGUAGGACUUGAAUUCGAUCGAAGUGGGCGGAAUGUGACAUGUAGCGGUGAAAUGCUUAGAUAUGUCACAGAACACCGAUAGCGAAGGCAGCUCACUAGGUCUGGAUUGACGCUCAGGGACGAAAGCGUGGGGAGCAAACAGGAUUAGAAACCCUUGUAGUCC
rnacentral:rRNA from 1 species